rnacentral:rRNA from 1 species
CCUACGGGAGGCUGCAGUGGGGAAUAUUGCACAAUGGGCGCAAGCCUGAUGCAGCCAUGCCGCGUGUGUGAAGAAGGCCUUCGGGUUGUAAAGCACUUUCAGCGGGGAGGAAGGCGGUGAGGUUAAUAACCUCAUCGAUUGACGUUACCCGCAGAAGAAGCACCGGCUAACUCCGUGUCAGCAGCCGCGGUAAUACGGAGGGUGCAAGCGUUAAUCGGAAUUACUGGGCGUAAAGCGCACGCAGGCGGUCUGUCAAGUCGGAUGUGAAAUCCCCGGGCUCAACCUGGGAACUGCAUUCGAAACUGGCAGGCUAGAGUCUUGUAGAGGGGGGUAGAAUUCCAGGUGUAGCGGUGAAAUGCGUAGAGAUCUGGAGGAAUACCGGUGGCGAAGGCGGCCCCCUGGACAAAGACUGACGCUCAGGUGCGAAAGCGUGGGGAGCAAACAGGAUUAGAUACCCCGGUAGUC